rnacentral:rRNA from 1 species
AACAUAGCCUUUAGCCUAAUAAGUAUUAAAGGUCCCGCCUGCCCAGUGAUAAUUUUAACGGCCGCGGUAUUCUAACCGUGCAAAGGUAGCGUAAUCACUUGUCUUCUAAAUAAAGACUAGUAUGAACGGCUAAAUGAGGAUAAACCUGUCUCUUGUAAUUAAUCAGUGAAACUAAUCUUCCAGUACAAAAACUGGAAUACCAACAUAAGACGAGAAGACCCUGUGGAGCUUUAAACCAACCACUAACACACCAACCUAGUGCAUGGUUUUAAGUUGGGGCGACUUUGGAACAAAACAAAACUUCCAAGAACAGAACCACACAUUCUAACCAAGGCCAACAAGCCAAAACACAUGACCCAGUAACACUGAUCAACGAACCAAGUUACCCCAGGGAUAACAGCGCCAUCUUCUUCAAGAGCCCAUAUCGACAAGAAGGUUUACGACCUCGAUGUUGGAUCAGGACACCCAAAUGGUGCAGCCGCUAUUAAAGGUUCGUUUGUUCAACGAUUAAUGUCCUACGUGAUCUGAGUUCAGACCGGAGCAAUCC